GUAGCAAACGCCCCAGCUUUCCCCGGUGCCUGCCUGGUGCGUGGGUCUUGCUUACAUGUUAAGACUGCUGUGGCUUUAAGGGACAGAUGACUUCGUGGCUACAGUGCUAAGGAACGGAACAGCAUUUGUCACCGGGAAAGAACCAACCCCUUUUUUUUCCUGGACUACCUGCAGUGCACGGACCACGGGAGCAAACGGCGUUGGAAUAGGUGCCUCCUAAUACUACCUGAGCUGAUGAACACACUGCCCAGAGUGCCACCAGGAGACUGCCGAACGCUGGGGUUUAAAGCCAUGGUUGUCUGA
rnacentral:lncRNA from 1 species